rnacentral:rRNA from 1 species
CCUACGGGAGGCAGCAGUGGGGAAUAUUGGACAAUGGGCGAAAGCCUGAUCCAGCAAUGCCGCGUGAGUGAUGAAGGCCUUAGGGUUGUAAAGCUCUUUUACCAGGGAUGAUAAUGACAGUACCUGGAGAAUAAGCUCCGGCUAACUCCGUGCCAGCAGCCGCGGUAAUACGGAGGGAGCUAGCGUUGUUCGGAAUUACUGGGCGUAAAGCGUACGUAGGCGGUUAUUCAAGUCAGAGGUGAAAGCCUGGAGCUCAACUCCAGAACUGCCUUUGAAACUAGAUAGCUAGAAUCACGGAGAGGUGAGUGGAAUUCCGAGUGUAGAGGUGAAAUUCGUAGAUAUUCGGAAGAACACCAGUGGCGAAGGCGGCUCACUGGACGUGUAUUGACGCUGAGGUACGAAAGCGUGGGGAGCAAACAGGAUUAGAUACCCUGGUAGUCCACGCCGUAAACGAUGAUAACUAGCUGCCAGGGUUCACAGAACUUUGGUGGCGCAGCUAACGCAUUAAGUUAUCCGCCUGGGGAGUACGGUCGCAAGAUUAAAACUCAAAUGAAUUGACGGGGGCCCGCACAAGCGGUGGAGCAUGUGGUUUAAUUCGAUGCAACGCGAAGAACCUUACCUACCCUUGACAUGUCUGAAAUCCCUGAGAGAUUGGGGAGUGCCUUCGGGAAUCAGAACACAGGUGCUGCAUGGCUCAGGUCACAUCGUGUCGCGAGAUGUUGGGUUAAGUCCCGUAGCGAUCACAACCCUUGUCCUUAGUUGCCAGCGCGUAAUGGCGGGAACUCUAGGGAGACUGCCGGUGAUAUACCGGAGGAAGGUGGGGAAGACGUCAAGUCACCAUGGCCCUUAUGGGUAGGGCAACACACGAUAGACAAUGGUCGGUACAGAGGGCAGGGAACUCUUGAUAGUAAGCAAAUUCCAGAAAACCGUUCUUAGUCAUGAUUGCAGUCUGCAACUUGUUUCCAUGAAGUCGGGGAAACAUUAAUGACCAAUCUUAAGCAACCAGAUAGGUGACCCUAUAGCUUCCUUAACUAUGCGUCCCACCAUUGGAGAGGUUUAAAAUCGGUCGCCUUGCACGCGCCCGGG